CGGCGGUGAGGUGAGGCUCGUGUGCCUGGCGCCAGGAGUGCCCACCAAGAACCUUAAAUGGGUCUCCCAGAUGUUCAAAUAGCUUGUGUCCUGCACACUGACUGAGAGUGUGUCCUUGACAAGUCCCUUCACCUCCCUGAGCUCCAGGCUUGUCACCCGUAAAAGGUGGUGACAGGAAGAGAAGUGCACAUGUGGGAAGCUCCCGAAAGGUGCCAUGUGCUCUACCCCAUGUGUGCCCACUCUCCUCUGGCCUCCCCCAGCCCCUUGUCCUUCUCUGCCUGCUCUGUGCCCUGGAGGCUGUGUCUGGUGAAGGUGGAGGGACUCAGGACACAGCCCAGACAUUCUUGGGAAAAUCACCGCAGGGCUCAGACGGCCAAUGUGGGACCUCGUGGUCCAGGUUUGAGGAGCUCUGGGAGUCCUACGACUGAGGUCUCUGCCCAGUUUGGUCUCAGGGACUCAUCCUAACAGUUUAUAUGCCUGCCUUCUGCUUCCCGACUGCUGCAGAGGAAAGAACAGGGGCUUUGGAACCAGAGACCUGCGAUUAAAUCUGGAAUCAUGUCACCCCAGUGAGCCUUGGUGUCUUUACCUGUGAAAUUACCACCCUCCAUUCCUCAUGGGCAAAUGCAGGUGUGGGAAGUAACCAGAUUGUUUUAAAUACUCAAUAAAUGACGGUUGUAUUAGUAA
rnacentral:lncRNA from 1 species